CCUACGGGUGGCAGCAGUGGGGAAUAUUCCGCAAUGGGCGAAAGCCUGACGCAGCGACGCCGCGUGCGGGAUGAAGGUCUUCGGAUCGUAAAGCUCUGUCAGCAGGGAAGAACGGUCACUGUGCUAAUCAGCAGUGAAUUGACGGUACCUGCACAGGAAGCACUGGCUAACUCUGUGCCAGCAGCCGCGGUAAUACGGAGGGUGCGAGCGUUAAGCGGAAUUACUGGGCGUAAAGCGCUCGUAGGCGGUAUGUUAAGUCAAGGGUGAAAUCCCCGGGCUCAACGGGGGAACUGCCUUGGAAACUGGCAAACUGGAGUGUGUUAGAGGAUAGUGGAAUUCCAUGUGAAGGAGUGAAAUCCGUAGAUAUCUGGAGGAACAUCAGUGGCGAAGGCGACUAACUGGCACAUAACUGACGCUGAGGGGCGAAAGCGUGGGUAGCAAACAGGAUUAGAUACCCGUGUAGUC
rnacentral:rRNA from 1 species